rnacentral:tRNA from 1 species
GGGCGUUUAGCGCAGCGGGAGCGCACUUCCUUCACACGGAAGGGGUCACAGGUUCAAAUCCUGUAACGCCCACCA